AUCUUCAUCUUGCAGCCGAAGUCCACAACAGUGGAGGGAGGUGAAAGUUACGACCAAGGCCUCUCCUGCAGCCACCGCCACCGGGGAGGCAAUCACAUUACAUUACCUGGUCUCAUAGGUUUGCUCGUCUGGAUAAGCAAAAAAAGCACGCGCACACUUGCACACUUGCACAGCACACAAUCAAGUUGAGGCUGUUCUUGCACCAAUUCAGCCACGAUGACUCAUGACAGGAAAGUGUGCAUGAAAACAAGGUUGGUUUAUAAUACUAGUGUGAUAGAGAAAUUUGAUUAAGGAAGGGAUGUGGAUGGCUUUGGCAGUGGGGAAAAUGAAAAUAAAAAUAAGAGAUGAUAGUUGGGCAAGUAGGGCUUGAUUGGUUUCCAGCAAGAAGAAGAAAAAUAAAGGUAGGGUUGAUUGGUGGUGGUCACCCACCCGCAUAUGUUUUAGCCCAUACAUGAUUGAAGGGAAGCCAAAAAUUUGCCAAAAGCUGGUUCAUGUCUCACGAGAGCAUCUAUGUUGUCUAAGCCAAAAUCCCUCACUCCUAGGAGAGGCUUCUUCAUGACAAAAGCACUUUUCCCCAUUUAUACUGAAAAGUAGUUUGAUCAUUAUACUUUCCAAUAUUGCUUCCAUGGGUAGUGUUGUUUUUAGGGCUUUAAAAUUGAAAGCCCCAAGGUUUUGUUUAAGUGCUUUUUACAACUUUUUAUCUCUCUUUGCGGCAAUAGGUACAAGAACGAAAUCAAUAUUGUGUUUGACGAGUGUUUAGCACGUGCAUCAUGAAUUAUAAUGAUGCGUUGAAGGUGAACAUGAUGAUGACUGUGUUUCGAAUGGGGAUGUGAUCAAACCUAGAUGUGCCAA